GACGAACGCUGGCGGCGUGCUUAACACAUGCAAGUCGAACGGUGAAGCGCUUUCCUUUUUGGUUGGUGUGGAUGAGUGGCGAACGGGUGAGUAACACGUGAGUAACCUGCCCCCUUCUUCUGGAUAACCGCAUGAAAGUGUGGCUAAUACGGGAUAUUCUGCACCUGCUGCAUGGUGGGUGUGGGAAAGAUUGUGCCUUUGGGUGUUUUCGGUGGGGGAUGGGCUCGCGGCCUAUCAGCUUGUUGGUGGGGUGAUGGCCUACCAAGGCGGUGACGGGUAGCCGGCCUGAGAGGGUGGACGGUCACACUGGGACUGAGACACGGCCCAGACUCCUACGGGAGGCAGCAGUGGGGAAUAUUGCACAAUGGGCGCAAGCCUGAUGCAGCGACGCCGCGUGAGGGAUGGAGGCCUUCGGGUUGUGAACCUCUUUCGCCAGUGAAGCAGGCCUGCUCCUUGUGGGUGGGUUGACGGUAGCUGGAUAAGAAGCGCCGGCUAACUACGUG
rnacentral:rRNA from 1 species